GUCCAGAAGUAUGUCAAUUUGGUCACGAACCCAUGAUCUGUCACUUUAAAUGUGCAGCUCGCUGGCAAUUCCAGAACAGCUACGUUAACCCGAGUCCGUGACGUCACUAACUUUUACCAGCAGCUCUGUGUUGGGGAGAUGAGAGGACGGAAUGAGAGUGUGUUGAUGUGAUAUCGCCGAGGACCAUUUUACCGGACAGCCUGAUAAGUAUCGUGUUGUUAGCUCUCCGAAGAAGAUCUGCUUAGGGAGACUGGUAGCAGGCAUCCUGGUCACAUGGCCCUCCCAUCUGAGCUGUGCUUUCAUAAGCAGUGUGGGAAUGUCAUGUCGGGACACGGCUGAAGAUUUCAAUGUCUGGGAUUCUGUCCUGCCACUUGAUCCUCAGCUGGUUUCUCAAACAGUUCAGAAGACACAGCACUCAUGAAAAUUCUGAGGCCAUUAGAUGAGUGAGGCCCAACAGUGGAUCCUGGUCAUUCACAAUCAAAAUUAUCGGUAAGGCACCUUAUCCGCUGUGGAGCUGUCGGAUUACUGCUCAUCUUCAAAUCUAGCUCACCCGAGGAGCUUCCAAAGCAAUCUUUAUGUGCUUGGUGUUACAAAAUAGCUCAUAGAGUGGGUAACAAAAUUGGAGGCCCUGCUGGAAUGUAUGUGUAGCCUUUUAAUAUUAUUAUUUUUAUCCCACAUACUGUGAUUAGAAAUCACAAGGGGAUACUACUCUUAUUUUUUGUGUAUGUGAGCACAAAGCAAAUUGCUAGCCCAGGAGGUAAACUAUUAAGAAGGAUUCUUCAACUUCUCUAACCUUAGUCAUGGCUCAAUUGUCUGUCCAGCACGCCCUCCCCUGCAGCCUGGUCUCAAGCUCCCCUGAAGCACGCUCUCAAGGUCUCCGGCCAUCACUAAGGCAU
rnacentral:lncRNA from 1 species